rnacentral:rRNA from 1 species
CGGCGGACGGGUUAGUAACGCGUGGGAAUAUGCCCAAAGGUACGGAAUAGCCUCUGGAAACGGAGAGUAAUACCGUAUGUGCCCUUCGGGGGAAAGAUUUAUCGCCUUUGGAUUAGCCCGCGUCGGAUUAGGUAGUUGGUGGGGUAAUGGCCUACCAAGCCUACGAUCCAUAGCUGGUUUGAGAGGAUGAUCAGCAACACUGGGACUGAGACACGGCCCAGACUCCUACGGGAGGCAGCAGUGGGGAAUCUUAGACAAUGGGCGAAAGCCUGAUCUAGCCAUGCCGCGUGAGUGACGAAGGCCCUAGGGUCGUAAAGCUCUUUCGCCAGGGAUGAUAAUGACAGUACCUGGUAAAGAAACCCCGGCUAACUCCGUGCCAGCAGCCGCGGUAAUACGGAGGGGGUUAGCGUUGUUCGGAAUUACUGGGCGUAAAGCGUACGUAGGCGGAUUAGUCAGUCAGAGGUGAAAUCCCAGGGCUCAACCCUGGAACUGCCUUUGAUACUGCUAGUCUUGAGUUCGAGAGAGGUGAGUGGAAUUCCGAGUGUAGAGGUGAAAUUCGUAGAUAUUCGGAGGAACGCCAGUGGCGAAGGCGGCUCACUGGCUCGAUACUGACGCUGAGGUACGAAAGUGUGGGGAGCAAACAGGAUUAGAUACCCUGGUAGUCCACACCGUAAACGAUGAAUGCCAGACGUCGGGGGGGCUUGCCCUUCGGUGUCACACCUAACGGAUUAAGCAUUCCGCCUGGGGAGUACGGUCGCAAGAUUAAAACUCAAGGAAUUGACGGGGCCCGCACAAGCGGUGGAGCAUGUUGGUUUAAUUCGAAGCAACGCGCAGAACCUUACCAACCCUUGACAUCCUGAUCGCGGUUACC